rnacentral:lncRNA from 1 species
UCUCUUUAGAUUGGACCUUCUCUUUAGAUUGGAAGGAAUUAAAUCCAUGCUUGGAAUAAAAAGGUGAAGGAUAGAGAGAUCAACUCAGAGGAGCUAUUAAUGUGAAGAGUCAAUGUCAUUUGAGAGACUGGCCUAUGAAGUGCCUCUUCCUUCACCCUUGACAAUACUGGGUUUUCUAUCCUGUGCCUCGAGGCCUUCCUUUAACAUGUUUCAACACGAUUACCAGUAAUAAUAAUAAUAAUAAUCCCAAAUCCCUCAUUUCUUUACUGAAUUGAGACGUUACUUUUAUUAAAAU